UCCUACGGGAGGGCAGCAGUAGGGAAUCUUCCACAAUGGGCGAAAGCCUGACGGAGCAACGCCGCGUGAGUGAUGAAGGUCUUCGGAUCGUAAACUCUGUUAUUAGGGAAGAACAAACGU
rnacentral:rRNA from 1 species